rnacentral:ncRNA from 1 species
GAAAUAGCUAAGAAAAGAUGAGUAAUUAAUGUGAGUAUCACUAAAGAGAGUCGUGAAUGGUGAGAUGCGAUGUGUUGAAAGCUUAAUGAAGAUGGUCUUGGAGCUAGAUUAUCUGUGAGCCAUGGCAAGCAGAUAACAGGGGUCGCCUGUUAUAGCGAACGAGUAUAGCUUGUACAGUGUACUUAGUGAGGAUAUUACUGUGAGGUAGUAUCGAAUAAUGGGUGGUAACACGUGAAUUAGAUGAUAACACGUCCCUAGA